UUCCAUGUGAACAGCAGUUGAACAUGGGUCAGUCGGCCCUAAGGAAUAGGGGAAACCCGUUCCGAAUUGGGGAGUGUGUGUCAAAAAAUGAACAAGUCACCCCCGAAAGACCGAAAGGGAAUCGGGUUAAUAUUCCCGAACCCGGAUGCGGAGAUCGAUCCUUUAUGGAUCCAAUGCGGCAACGCAAACGAACUCGGAGACGUCGGCGGGAGUCCCGGGAAGAGUUGUCUUUUCUUUGUAAGGAACGGACUCCCUGGAAUCGGCUCGCCCGGAGAGAGGGACGUUGUUUCCGUAAAGCACCGCGGCUCUUGCGGUGUCCGGAGCGCUCCCGCCGGCCCUUGAAAAUCCGAGGGAGAGAACUUGAUUUUCGCACCGGACCGUACCCAUAUCCGCAGCAGGUCUCCAAGGUGAACAGCCUCUAGUCGAUAGAACA
rnacentral:rRNA from 1 species